GAUGAACGCUGGCGGCGUGCCUAAUACAUGCAAGUCGAGCGAACAGACGAGGAGCUUGCUCCUCUGACGUUAGCGGCGGACGGGUGAGUAACACGUGGAUAACCUACCUAUAAGACUGGGAUAACUUCGGGAAACCGGAGCUAAUACCGGAUAAUAUAUUGAACCGCAUGGUUCAAUAGUGAAAGACGGUUUUGCUGUCACUUAUAGAUUGAUCCGCGCCGCAUUAGCUAGUUGGUAAGGUAACGGCUUACCAAGGCAACGAUGCGUAGCCGACCUGAGAGGGUGAUCGGCCACACUGGAACGGAGACACGGUCCAGACUCCUACGGGAGGCAGCAGUAGGGAAUCUUCCGCAAUGGGCGAAAGCAUGACGGAGCAACGCCGCGUGAGUGAUGAAGGUCUUCGGAUCGUAAAACUCUGUUAUUAGGGAAGAACAAAUGUGUAAGUAACUAUGCACGUCUUGACGGUACCUAAUCAGAAAGCCACGGCUAACUACGUG
rnacentral:rRNA from 1 species